AUGCGAAGCAGGUUUUUCGUCUUGGUAGAGGAGCCCUUUGACGUGGUCUCAGGGCCAAGGCCCCCCGACGUGGCGUUGAUUGCCCCUCUCUCUCGGAAGGUGGCGCAAAUGAAGAGCAAAGACAACCGGAUCAAGCUGAUGAACGAAAUUCUCAACGGGAUCAAAGUGCUCAAGCUUUACGCCUGGGAGCUGGCGUUCAAGAACAAGGUGCUGGCCAUCAGGCAGGAGGAGCUGAAGGUGCUGAAGAAGUCGGCCUACCUGGCGGCCGUGGGCACCUUCACCUGGGUCUGCACACCUUUCCUGGUGA